UGCACCGUCUGCGUAUUGAGCAGGAUUACCUUUCUUUCUACUGGAUUUCCACUUACCCGCAUCCAAGAGCAGUUGUUCCGUGCUCAUAGCAGAUGAAGAGCAGGUGAGAGCCAUUUCAUCUUUUUUGCUGACUUGAAAAUCGCACC